rnacentral:rRNA from 1 species
GUGGGGAAUAUUGGACAAUGGGCGAAAGCCUGAUCCAGCCAUGCCGCGUGUGUGAAGAAGGUCUUCGGAUUGUAAAGCACUUUAAGUUGGGAGGAAGGGUAGUAACCUAAUACGUUGCUACUUUGACGUUACCGACAGAAUAAGCACCGGCUAACUUCGUGCCAGCAGCCGCGGUAAUACGAAGGGUGCAAGCGUUAAUCGGAAUUACUGGGCGUAAAGCGCGCGUAGGUGGUUCAGUAAGUUGGAAGUGAAAUCCCCGGGCUCAACCUGGGAACUGCUUGCAAAACUGCUGAGCUAGAGUACGGUAGGGGGUGGUGGAAUUUCCUGUGUAGCGGGGAAAUGCGUAGAUAUAGGAAGGAACACCAGUGGCGAAGGCGACCACCUGGACUGAUACUGACACUGAGGUGCGAAAGCGUGGGGAGCAAACAGGAUUAGAAACCCCGGUAGUCC